UACGUAGGGGGCAAGCGUUAUCCGGAUUCACUGGGUGUAAAGGGAGCGUAGACGGCCAUGCAAGCCUGGAGUGAAAGCCCGGGGCCCAACCCCGGGACUGCUCUGGGAACUGUGCGGCUGGAGUGCGGGAGGGGCAGGCGGAAUUCCAGGUGUAGGAGUGAAAUCCGUAGAUAUCUGGAGGAACAUCAGUGGCGAAGGCGGCCACCUGGACCGGUAUUGACGCUGAGGCGCGAAAGCGUGGGGAGCAGACAGG
rnacentral:rRNA from 1 species